UACGUAGGUGGCAAGCGUUGUCCGGAUUUACUGGGCGUAAAGAGCGCGCAGGCGGUCGUUCAAGUCGCGUGUGAAAGCCCCCGGCUCAACUGGGGAGGGUCACGCGAUACUGAUCGACUCGAAGGCAGGAGAGGGAAGUGGAAUUCCGGGUGGAGUGGUGAAAUGCGUAGAGAUCCGGAGGAACACCAGAGGCGAAGGCGGCCUGCUGGGCUGCACCUGACGCUGAGCCGCGAAAGCCAGGGGAGCGAACGGG
rnacentral:rRNA from 1 species